CUCCUGCCUCAGCCUCCCGAGUAGCUGGGAUUACAUGCGCGUGCCACCACGCCCAGCUAAUUUUUGUAUUUUUAUAGAGACGGGGUUUCACCAUGUUGGCCAGGCUGGUCUCGAACCCCGGACCUCAGGUGAUCCACCUGCCUCGGCCUCCCAAAGUGCUGGGAUUACAGGCAUGAGCCACCGUGCCUGGCCAGAAACAUUCUUUUUAUUCGUUUUUAUUAUAAUUGUAGUAAGGGCCCUGGUAGGGGAUUUGAACUGUUUCUUUCCACAGUGUGGAAUGAUGUCUAUAUACAUUACAGAAUGGAGAUAUAGAUAUCUAUAGAGAUCUAUAGAUAUCUAUAGAGAUCUAUAUAGAUAUCUAUAGCUAUAUAGAUAUAGAGAUAUAGAUAUAUAUAGAUAUAUAGA
rnacentral:lncRNA from 1 species